rnacentral:misc_RNA from 1 species
CCGAGUUGACAAACUCCCAAACCCCAAUGUUAUCUAUCUCGAUAACGUUGCCUCGGCGGAGCAGGCCCAGGCGGGCCCGUAAGAUAGGGAUCGGGCCGGCGCCGCCGGAGGACACCCUAAACUCUGUUUUUAGUGAACUUCUGAGUAAAACAGACAAAUAGUCA